GGAGAGGUGGCAGAGUGGUUGAAUGCGACGCACUCGAAAUGCGUUAACUCGGCAACGAGUUCGUGGGUUCAAAUCCCACCCUCUCCG
rnacentral:tRNA from 1 species